CUUUUUAGAGAAUUUUUAUCAUUUCAGUGAGGUAAAUAAAAGUGUGAUUCACUUCUGUAAAAAUGCAAGGCUCACUAAUUUAAAAAAAAAAAAAAGCUAGAUAAUAUGAAUGGAGAGGACUCACCAAUAGGUGAGUGAAACAUUAGAAAUGUACAUAGGUAGAUAGAUGAGGCCAACUGAAUGUGCUGCGUUCAAUAUAUAGAUAUUUUCAGGGUUUCAUGGGCAAAGAAAUGUAUCACAUCUGCUUUCACCAGUUCAUUCAUCUCACAAGCAGUCCAAGUAUUCCCACUGAUGCCUGUUUCAUAGCUGGGUAAAUGUUUAAGCAGUACAUUUGUUUUGAGCUCCCUGAAACUAGGGAAACUAGGCUACACUCCUAUUUUUAAUAUGUCUAUAUUACUAUAAACCCAGUGUCUGCAUGUGACUCAGCCCUGGAAGAACGACAGAUAGCAAGAACAAUAUUAGUGACAUAAAAUAUAGGAACAGAAUACAUGGAACUAUGUAUGUAGGCUAAAAAUUUGCAUGCAGUUCUAGGCAGAAAAGUUUCUGUGGCAUCUUACAGAAACAGACAUUUAAGUUUUUUUCCUACAAUUUCCAGCCCUCUUGUAAUUCCAGGAGUAAUUACAACCAUUGGAAUGUUGGUAUAAAUGAAAGUAGAGAUCUAGAAGAUUGGUCCGCGUCAGACUUUUGUUUUAUUCAGAGGUUUGGCUUCCUGCCCUCAGUUCAGGCAAUAAAUUGGCUGUAACAGAGCUCCUUCUAGCAUUCUGUUCAGUAGAAGUAUCCCAACAGAGACAAAAAUACACAAAAUAAGGACUCAAGAAGGAAGUCAACUGAGAUCAUCAUCAUCAACAUUUCUUCAGUGCCUAUGCAAUGCUGCUCCGCUCAGGCCGUAUAAAGCCGUAUCAAAUGCCUCGCCAGAGAAGGCAGCCUGUGAAGAAGAAAUUUCUGCUUAAACGUAUGAGAACAGCUCCUGGAAAGCCAGUGUUUAGUCUGCGAAAAACAGUGAAAUGUUAUAUCCUAACUGAAGAUUCAAAAACCGUGCAUUUUGAUAUAGAUGAAGAUGGUCAUCAUGAAAUAUGUACCAAGGAUUCACAAUCCCAUGAAGAUAUUGCGUGGUUAAGUGUGUUCACAAGAAGCGAAGCAGCAGUUACUGAUUCUAAAAAUUUGGUGAUCCUCACACAGAGAUCAAAGCUAAAUGAAUUUGUCCUGUUGUGCAAGGGUAAGAAGCAUCUCUCUCUGAAGGUCUUAAAAGCAUCCUGUUCAGAGCCAGAUUGUCCUUCAGUGGCGAGAUGCAAUAUGAAAACAUGCAACCAUGAAGAUCCUGACUUUAAACAGUGUGAAGAUAAUAACUUUUUCAUCAUGCAUUACCAAGGAGAUUCAGUGCAGUUCCAAUGCUACGAAGACAGAAGUUACUAUCUGUGUGUGAACAACGACUCACUUGAUAUUCGCAAGCUGGAAAACAAAGAGCCCAACGAGGACAAAAAUUUUUACUUCAGGGUAUCAUAUUUACAGGAAAAGUAA
rnacentral:lncRNA from 1 species